AUUGAUUUCUGGUUCAUGCGAUACUCCUCAAGCUUUUGAAGCUCUUGAGAGAAGUUCUACAAAUACGGGAAGAAGGCACCUGAGGCUAAGAUUGGAACACAGAUUCAUAAUUUCUUAUAAAUAUAAAUCAAGCUAGAGCAUUAACAGCUUCUCAUAUCAGAUUAUAUUGUUCUAGUAUGAUUUUCAAAUGAAAAAAAUAUGCAAUCCAUGAAUUACCUUUUUCAAUGAUUUGGAGUGCUUACAGCUAAAGAACCACACUCAGCAAUGCUUUUGUUCUGCAUAAA